AGUCGAGCGAUGAACACCUUCGGGUGUGAAUUAGCGGCGAACGGGUGAGGAACACGUGAAGAAUCUGCCUUCAACUCUGGGAUAACUCCGGGAAACCGGGGCUAAUACCGGAUAUGAGCCUUGAUCGCAUGAUCGGGGCUGGAAAGUUUUUCGGUUGAAGAUGACUUCGCGGCCUAUCAGCUUGUUGGUGAGGUAAUGGCUCACCAAGGCGACGACGGGUAGCCGGCCUGAGAGGGCGACCGGCCACACUGGGACUGAGACACGGCCCAGACUCCUACGGGAGGCAGCAGUGGGGAAUAUUGGGCAAUGGAGGAAACUCUGACCCAGCGACGCCGCGUGAGGGAUGAAGGCCUUCGGGUUGUAAACCUCUUUCAGUAGGGAAGAAGCGAAAGUGACGGUACCUACAGAAGAAACCCCGGCUAACUAUGUGCCAGCAGCCGCGGUAAUACAUAGGGUGCAAGCGUUGCCCGGAAUUAUUGGGCGUAAAAAGCUCGAAGGUGGUUCCAUACCCCGGAUGUGAAAAACAGGGGUUCAACCCCUGACCUGAAUCCGAUACGGUCAAGCUGGAAUUUGGUAGGGGAAACUGGAAAUUCCGGGGUAACCGGGGGAAUGCCCCAAAUUUCAGGAGGAAACCCCAAUGGCAAAGGGAGGUCUCCUGGGCCCAUACUGACCCCGAAGAACGAAAGCGGGGGGAGCCAACAAGAAUUAAAAACCUGGGAAGCCCCCCCCCCAAA
rnacentral:rRNA from 1 species